CAGCCGCCGCGGUAAUACGUAGGUCCCGAGCGUUGUCCGGAUUUAUUGGGCGUAAAGCGAGCGCAGGCGGUUAGAAAAGUCUGAAGUGAAAGGCAGUGGCUCAACCAUUGUAGGCUUUGGAAACUGUUUAACUUGAGUGCAGAAGGGGAGAGUGGAAUUCCAUGUGUAGCGGUGAAAUGCGUAGAUAUAUGGAGGAACACCGGUGGCGAAAGCGGCUCUCUGGUCUGUAACUGACGCUGAGGCUCGAAAGCGUGGGGAGCGAACAGGAUUAGAUACCCCAGUAGUCCCUGUCUCUUAUACA
rnacentral:rRNA from 1 species